rnacentral:rRNA from 1 species
UACGUAGGGUGCAGGCGUUAAUCGGAAUUACUGGGCGUAAAGCGUGCGCAGGCGGUUUGCUAAGACAGGUGUGAAAUCCCCGGGCUUAACCUGGGAACUGCGCUUGUUACUGGCAAGCUGGAGUGUGGCAGAGGGGGAUGGAAUUCCGCGUGUAGCAGUGAAAUGCGUAGAUAUGCGGAGGAACACCGAUGGCGAAGGCAAUCCCCUGGGCCUGCACUGACGCUCAUGCACGAAAGCGUGGAGAGCAAACAGG